UUUUUAGCAUUUUCUUAUUUUCUGAUUUUAUUUCUUUUAUUUCUAUUAUUUUCAAAAAUUCAUAUCUUCUUCAUUUUAAAUCCAAAAAAUAUGGGACCAAUUGCAUUCUUCUCCAAAUAAAUUCUAGUUUCUAAUUUUGAUUUUUAAUAUUUUUUAUUUUGUCAUUUGGUAAUUUUUGUGAAUUUUCUCUUUUCUGGUUAUUUUUAAUUCAUUUUAAAUAGUUUUUGAUAUUCAAAAAAUACAAAAAUAUUUUCCUAACCUAUUUGAAUGAUGAUGGAUCUAUG
rnacentral:lncRNA from 1 species